AACGAACGCUGGCGGCAGGCCUAACACAUGCAAGUCGAGCGAGGACUUCGGUUCUAGCGGCGGACGGGUGAGUAACGCGUGGGAAUGUGCCCUUCUCUACGGAAUAGCCCUGGGAAACUGGGAGUAAUACCGUAUACGCCCUUUUGGGGUAAGAUUUAUCGGAGAAGGAUCAGCCCGCGUUGGAUUAGGUAGUUGGUGGGGUAAUGGCCUACCAAGCCGACGAUCCAUAGCUGGUUGGAGAGGAUGAUCAGCCACACUGGGACUGAGACACGGCCCAGACUCCUACGGGAGGCAGCAGUGGGGAAUCUUAGACAAUGGGGGCAACCCUGAUCUAGCCAUGCCGGGUGAGUGAUGAAGGCCUUAGGGUUGUAAAGCUCUUUCAGCUGGGAAGAUAAUGACGGUACCAGCAGAAGAAGCCCCGGCUAACUCCGUG
rnacentral:rRNA from 1 species